rnacentral:lncRNA from 1 species
CGAUCCGAAGACCAAAACAGAGAGCCUGAAUUUCUGUCUAGCCAAAUGAAGCAACUCAUGGGUCUAUCCAUUUUUAGUAAGACAUCCCAUGGGUCGACCCAUUCUGGACGAACACUUGUAAUGGCUAGUUUUUAGUCCAUUUUUAGUGUAUUUAAUAUGCAUUAAACACACUCCAACGGCUCUUAACUGACACUAAGAUACUCUCAAGAUAAAAUAAAGACUAUAAAUACUCUCUAGAGGUAAAAAAUCAAACAAGAGACAAGUAUUCAAGCUCAAACCCGUGAAAGAGAAAGAAAAUCCUAGAA